UACGUAGGGUGCAAGCGUUAAUCGGAAUUACUGGGCGUAAAGCGUGCGCAGGCGGUUUGUAAGUCUGUCGUGAAAUCCCCGGGCUCAACCUGGGAAUUGCGAUGGAGACUGCAAGGCUAGAAUCUGGCAGAGGGGGUAGAAUUCCACGUGUAGCAGUGAAAUGCGUAGAGAUGUGGAGGAACACCGAUGGCGAAGGCAGCCCCUGGGUCAAGAUUGACGCUCAUGCACGAAAGGCGUGGG
rnacentral:rRNA from 1 species